GCAGAUGGACUUUCCACUCAGCCAGCGCCAUCUUGUCUGCGCCAUACUGUACACGUGGCUGGCACAAAGAGACGAUGGAGCUGCCGUUUUGAACAUGCCUAGUCCCAGUGUCUGAGGCGCAUGGCCCCGGGAGAGGAGGAGAAUGGGACGGUGGUUCAGAUCUGCUGAUGUAGCUGUGGUCAGUCACUGGGGAGAAUAGGCCUGUGGAUUUCUGCUCCUCUGAGAUGGAUCCAUCACUGACUACUGAACUUGUUUUCUCAUUGGCUCAACUUAAGAAGGUUCUAGAGGAUCAAGGACGUGAAACAACCAAAACCAAAGAGCAGCUGGAGACCACUUGCCAGUGAUUAGCACGAGGUAAGCUGCAAAGAACUUUGAAUUAGGUCAGUCUAAAUAAUAGGGCGUUUUUCAAGUCCUUGCCUUGGGAAGAUCAGGAACACGGUGAAUAAUUGGGAUUACCUUUGUCUCACUAAGAGCCAAACCCCAGGUGUUGUAAGGCUACAAAGCUAUCUCAUUGUCUUCCUGUAUCAUCCAACGCUGAGAUCCUCUGUGACAUUUUAAAUUGCUUAUGUAGCAAAGCAAAUGGAGUACAGUAUUCAAACAUAGUUUUGUGUUUGUAGAGAACAUAAGAAGCUGAAAAUAUGAAUGGAUUCAAAGUGCAUGUAGAAAAAAAUGUGUCUGCUAUCUUUGUGAUUUGUUGCUAAGGAAAUGUUUCAUAGAGUAUUAGUACUGGACGAGCCCAAAGAAAUAAUAAUAUGAAGCCAUGUGAUAUUUGGGAUCCACUUACACUAAAAAUUAUUGUUUAUUACAUUUACAUUAUAUUAUUUGUUCUUUAUCUGAAAUCCGAAUUUACCAGAGCGUCUUUUGUUUUUAUUUGCUAAACCUGGCACCCCUAUUGAAAAUCCUGCUCCCCAGGCUUCAGCAAUAUCUCACUAUGUAGAAAAAGUUAGGUUAAAGUUGAAUUGUCUGCUAUUUUAGAAUGUCUAAAUAUAUUCAGAAGGCAAACUAUUGGAAGAUUUUUUUUAAGCUCAUUUUAUAUUCAAAACUUAGAAAUAAGGCUCAAGGAGGAAGGCGUGUCCUUCCAAUGUCAUUUUGGAGCAUUGUUGAAUAGGUCUAUCUGAAGAUUAUUUAAAUAUUUAGGGCAAUGUUCUUGUUUGUCCCGCGAUCUAUUAAUGAUUAAAGGGCCGAGGUCUGUGAAGUUACAUGUUAUCGUGAGGUAUUUGUCUGGCAGUGAUGCAAAUCAAUUCUGUCUGGUAGAAAAGAUAACCUAAAAGGUUAUAAUUACUGCUUUAGUGCGUUGCAGGAUAUUAACUUGUUUUGUAUAACCUAGGGCUCUUAUGCUAACAUUUUUUUCAUUUUUUUAAAAAUAAAAUCUUUAAAACUUUAAA